AAAACGGAGAGUUUGAUCCUGGCUCAGGAUGAACGCUGGCGGUAUGCUUAACACAUGCAAGUCGAACGAAAUCUUCGGAUUUAGUGGCGGACGGGUG
rnacentral:rRNA from 1 species